rnacentral:lncRNA from 1 species
CUACAAAUUAUCUUUGUUCUAUAUAUUUUGUAUAUUAUUUUUUUUUUUUUUACUAAAAACACACAAUUAUGCAUUAAAGAAUAUUUAAAAAAAUAAAAAAAAACCUUAACAUUUAAAUAUGUAUUUAUUUUUUUCGUUAAUCCUAUUUUUGUAAAAUUAAACAUUUGUACAUAAACAUAUAUACAUAUAUGUAUACAUAUUUAAACACUAUACAUUUAAUUCUUUUUCUAUCUCCAUUUUAUACACUGAAACUUAUUAACAAUACGGACAUAAAAAUAAAAUAUAGAGUGUUUUUUUUUUUUUUUUUUUUUUUUGCCUAUACACAUACAUAUAUAUGUAUAUAUAUACAUAUAUACACUUUGCUAUUUUUACUUUAUCACAAGUUAACGAAAACACAAAAAAUGAUAACCUCUUUAGAUGUCAUACAUGAACUAUUAACAACAAUAUUCUCCGAAAUAUUUUCCCGAAGUGCAAAAGAAAUAUGCAAAUAUGACGUGUUACUAUAUAUAGAUGAUUAUUAUUAUUAUGACAUGAUAAAAUGUGUGAGUGGAUAUAUCAAUCAGAUAGAUAAUACUUCAGUAAUAAUACAAAAUGAUAAUUUUGAUAGCAUCUUUGAAACAUUUUGUGAAAAAAGAAACUAUAUUAUAAAAAACCGAAACUAUUAUAAUGACAAUGAAAAACGAAUAGACUUUCUUAAUGAAAUUCUUUCUGACUUAUUAUGUUGCAUAUACAAUCAAGAAAAAAACAAUAAGAAUAUAAAAAAAACAAAAAGUAAGAAAAUAAUAACAAAAACUUAUAAUAAAGAAAUAAAAGGAGAAAGCUGGACACAAAUUGAAAAGUAUAUAAUUGAUAUAGGUAAAUUAUUAAAUAAUAAAAUAUGUGAAGGUGAACAUACAGAGGAUAUCAAUGAGAAUGUGAUAAAGGAUAUAUUAUUAAAUAUUAAAAAAGAAGAUUUUAAAAAUAAUGAUAUUAUUAUAAAAAAUAAAAUAAAUACUGAAACAUUAAACUUAUUAAACAAUUUAAUAGAAAAACAUAACAAUGAAUAUGAGUCAAGGUAUUACUAUUUAUUUUUAAAUAAUUACCUUACUAUCCAAACAAUGUUCACUUCACGUCUCAUUGAUUUACAUUCAAAAAAAGUGCAAAAUAUAAUUAAAAAAAUAAUCAAGAUAAAAACAAAUAAAUUCAAACCAUUAACAAUACAUAAUGUGUUAGCAUUUCAAUAUGAGCAAAUUAAGUUAGCAAAAGUUCAUACGUUAACUUAAUAAGUUUUAUCAAAAAAAGGGAAAAUAUUAAAUUCUAUUACUAAUAGAAGGAAGGGUAGGGGUAUACCUAAUGAAUUUCCCUAAAGGAAAUGUUAAAAAAGAAGUGAUUAGCGCAAAUAUAUUAUUAAAAGAAAAAUAUAAUAAAGCUCAAAAAAAAAAAAAAAAAAAAAAAAAA